CCUACGGGAGGCAGCAGUGAGGAAUAUUAGUCAAUGGCCGAGAGGCUGAACCAGCCAAGUCGCGUGAGGGAAGACGGCCCUACGGGUUGUAAACCUCUUUUGUCGGGGAGCAAAGAGAGUCACGUGUGACUCAUUGAGAGUACCCGAAGAAAAAGCAUCGGCUAACUCCGUGCCAGCAGCCGCGGUAAUACGGAGGAUGCGAGCGUUAUCCGGAUUUAUUGGGUUUAAAGGGUGCGCAGGCGGGCUGUUAAGCCGGCGGUAAAAAUUCAGGGCUCAACCCUGUCGAGCCGUCGGAACUGGCAGUCUUGAGUGGGCGAGAAGUAUGCGGAAUGCGUGGUGUAGCGGUGAAAUGCAUAGAUAUCACGCAGAACGCCGAUUGCGAAGGCAGCAUACCGGCGCCCAACUGACGCUGAGGCACGAAAGCGUGGGGAUCGAACAGGAUUAGAUACCCUGGUAGUC
rnacentral:rRNA from 1 species